GACCUGAUGGUGGAGUGGUUAAUACGCCCGGAUUAAAUAGAUUUGUCCAGGAGAAUCUCAACAAAUGAACGGGAGUCCCCGGUUCGAACCCGGAUCAGGUCA